rnacentral:lncRNA from 1 species
CCAAACCCAGGAACUUGAUCCCCCAUUCUAACUUAUUGAAAAUUUUAGUGCCUUAAGGCUCUCUCAGUAGAAGCACCAAAUAUGUCGGGGUAGAGAGAGUUGCCUCAAGAAAGCGCUGGGCUUCUGGCUGUCACUAAAUACUCAAUCAAGUUUGAAAUAUAAGGGUAAUUAUUUUAUAUAUAUAAACUCCUCUCCUUUGGAGCAAUUACAUCAAUAUACAAGCCUUAAAAUCCAAAGAACACCAAAAUACUUGAUAAGGUGUUAUAAAAAACUUAUAUAUCCUUAUGAGGAAUUUUUCCCGAAGUUCAACAGCUCAUAACUUACGAUCUAACCGUCUAAACAACUCCAAAUUUUACAUGGAGUACUGAUAUAUCUUUAGAAACUACCACAUCAAAAUUCAACCGUAAAUUCGUCUUGGAUCUUGUGAUAUCUUGAAAACCCUAACUGUAGCUUCAAACCCUAGCUUUUUUACACCCGUGUACAACUUCCUUCAUAUCUAACAAAGUAAUUAUUCAAAUACUAUGAAACUUUGAUCUAAAGCUUUUUAACCCAAUUACACACACUUGUGGAAAUUUUGAGCCAAAAAUUCGUCUAGAAACUUAAGAUAUGGCUUCAUCCAUAACUAGCAACAAAACGAUAUACUUACUGCCUUCAAAUUACAAGUGCUGUCUUCAACGCCUCAUAACUCCUUCACCCAAUCUUAGAAUUCACUAUACAGUAAUUAGAAUGUGUAGCCGAAAAAAUGCUCCCUCCAAACCCAGUCGCCGAUCUUCCGUUGCUCUCCGUAUUCGUAUGUGAUGCCCAAAAGAAGUGACAGUAGGUACGAAAUUGACAUCUUAUCUUUGAACAUUCAUAUCUUUUCCAUAAAAACUCGAAAUCACACAAAAUCUUCACCCAAAUUAUACCCAAAACCCUAAACCUUCUGACCUUAGCCUCAAAA